rnacentral:lncRNA from 1 species
CCUUAUGCUCUCAUUGGAAAAGAGACUCCAUGUUUUUAUUAGGGAAGCAACUACAAAUGGAAUCUCUUUGGUGGUAUAUAUAUUGCAACUUGCGUAGACCACUUUAUAUUUUAAAUCUUCCACCACAUCAUUGACAUAACAUGUGGUUAAUUUGCAUAUAAGACUGAUGGAGGUAACCAUUGGAUGUGGAGAUUUACCUUAGCUUUAAAGGAGGAUCCGAGAAGAAUGGGGUC